rnacentral:lncRNA from 1 species
AGAUGGAGUCUUGCUCUGUCUCUUAGGCUGGAGUGCAGGGGCACGAUCUCGGCUCACUUCAACCUCUGCCUCCUGGGCUCAAGUGAUUCUCUUGCCUGAGCCUCCUGGAGUAGCUGGGAUUAUAGAUGCGCCACCACGCCUGGCUAAGUUUUGAAUUUUUAGUAGAGAUGUGGUUUCUCCACGUUGGCCAGGCUGGUCUCGAACUCCUGACCUCACAUGAUCCGCCCACCUCGGCCUCCCAAAGCGCUGGGAUUACAGGUGUGAGCCACCUCACCCGGCCACUUUUUUUUUUUUCUUUUUUAAUGAGACAAGGUCUCACCUAUCAUCUAGGCUACAACGCAGAGGCACAAUCACAGCCAACUGCAACCUUGAACACCUGGCUUCAGGCGAUCCUCCCACCUCUGUGUCCCAAACUGCUGUGUGAGCCACUGUGCCCAGCCAAAAGCUGUUUUUCAAUGGAGGACCAACAUCUGAAAAGUACAUUGACAAACUGAGGCUCUUAUAUGUUUAAUUCAACGCCUACAGGGCAGUGGCAGUGGCUCACGCCUGUAAUCCCAGCACUUUGGGAGGAUGAGGCAGGAGGAUGGCUUGAGGCCAACCUGGUCAACAUAGUGAGACUCUGUCUUUACAAAACAAAUAAAAUAUUAGCUGGGUGUGCUGGCACGAGCCUGUAGUCCCAGCUACUCAGAAGGCUGAGGUGGGAGGAUCACUUGGGCUAGGAGGUAGAGGCUGCAGUGAGCUAUGAUCGUGUCAUUGCACUCCAGCCUGGGCAACAGAGCAAAGACCCUGUCUCUAAAAAAUAAAUAAUAAAUGUCUAUGGACUGCACAAUAUUGUUGAUUCCUCAACUCCUCUCUUGCUCUUUUGCAUAUUGGCAACAUAAAAAGUGUCAUUUUCGGGCUGGGCACAGUGGCUCAUGCCUGUCAUCCCAGCACUUUGGGAGGCUGAGGCGGGUAGAUCACUUGAGGUCAGGAGUUGGAGACCAGCCUGGCCAACAUGGUGAAGCCCCGUCUCUACUAAAAAUACAAAAAUUAGCUGGGUAUGGUGGUGGUGGAGGGGGGGCACCUGUAAUCCCAGCUACUCAGGAGCCUGAGGCAGGAGAAUAAAUUGCUUGAACCUGGGAGGUGGAGGUUGCAGUGAGCUGAGAUCGCGCCAUUGCACUCUAGCCUGGGCGACAGAAUGAGACUCUGACUGAAAAAAAAAAAAAAAAGAAAAUGUCAUUUUCAGAGGGCAAAGUGAGGAAGGUGCACCCUCAGGACAUUCUUGCCUCAGCCUGGGGAAAGAGAGUUUAAGCAAUUCCCCCAGAAAGGCACAGGAACCUCAGCCCAGAGAGGGGCAGCUUCCUGCCUCGGGUCAGGAAGCACAGCCUUGGGCUCCGAGAGUCCCUCGUCUCUACCUCCCCAAGUUCAAAUGUGCAUGCGUGAAGUUCCAAACCCAGCCCCAGUGCUAACCCCUGGCUGCCUCCUCUUUCUGACUUCUCAGGGAAAAAAAAAAAAACCACAUACACACAAAAAAUCCCACAAGUCAGGAAACAUCCAUCACGGGCUGUCCAGCCCAGGCCGGAGGGGCAGGAGUCAGCAGGGAGGUGACCUCAAGGUCUCCGUGGGGACUAGGAUCCGGCGGGGCUGGGGGUGAGAGGCUGGAAAUUUUCCCACCCCGAGACUUUCCUGCGUCAACCCAGGAGGGCGCCCUGGAUGCCGCCAGCCCUGCCCCCAACCUCCUUCCUCUCCUGACAGGGCAGCUUCCCGGCUAAGGAUGGAUGGGGAGGGUGUGCCAAGAUGGAGCCACCAGGACCAGGAAUGGACAGGCACUUUGAGAUUGACCAGACGAGGGACCCUGGCUCAGAGUGGCGAAGGCCUGGCCUCAGAGCCACACAGCCAGGAGGUGUACAUGGGUUGGCGUCGCUCCCAGCACAUGCAGCCUCCCUCUACCUCCACUACCCUGCCCAGGAGCUGGAGCCCAGCCCGGCCUUGGGUGUGUGAGAAGCCACUGGCCCGGGGCCCUGCUUCCCCGGUCCUUCCUCCCCACAACACACUCAGGACUCAGCCCUUCCUUGUGUUAAAUAGAAACCUCUUUAU